UGGGUGCUACAAAGAUUCUUUAGGACCCAACAUUAAUGAUUUGAGAAACUAUUUUACUAUAUCUUACAUUUGUUUCUUGCUGCAGUGGUUUUAUCCUUUGUUUAUCUUCUAAGUGGACUAAUAAGCUGAGAAAGUUCUCAAUCAACAUAAAGACACCUCCUCCACUCCUUUCUUAAAUCUUGGGGAAAAAAAUAAACACAAAAGCAUAAAGGAAAACCUUUUAAAAAUCAACUAUAAUUUUACCAGAUGAUAAAAAAAUCUUUUCUCGGGCUUCCCUGGUGGCGCAGUGGUUGAGAGUCUGCCUGCCGAUGCAGGGGACACGGGUUCGAGCCCUGGUCUGGGAAGAUCCCACAUGCCGCGGAGCAACUAAACCCGUGCGCCACAACUACUGAGCCUGCGCGUCCGGAGCCGUGCUCCGCAAAGAGAGGCCGCGACAGUGAGAGGCCCGCGCACCGCGAUGAAGAGUGGCCCCCGCUCGCCACAACUGGAGAAGGCCCUCGCACAGAAACGAAGAACCAACACAGCCAAAAAUAAAUAAAUUAAUUAAUUAAAAAAAAAAUCUUUUCUCCCAUGAUUUCUUUUAGUAGUUUUUGUGUUUUGAUUUCUUACAUGGAAUGAAUU